rnacentral:rRNA from 1 species
GACGAACGCUGGCGGCGUGCUUAACACAUGCAAGUCGAACGGAAAGGCCCUGCUUUUGUGGGGUGCUCGAGUGGCGAACGGGUGAGUAACACGUGAGUAACCUGCCCUUGACUUUGGGAUAACUUCAGGAAACUGGGGCUAAUACCGGAUAGGAGCUCCUGCUGCAUGGUGGGGGUUGGAAAGUUUCGGCGGUUGGGGAUGGACUCGCGGCUUAUCAGCUUGUUGGUGGGGUAGUGGCUUACCAAGGCUUUGACGGGUAGCCGGCCUGAGAGGGUGACCGGCCACAUUGGGACUGAGAUACGGCCCAGACUCCUACGGGAGGCAGCAGUGGGGAAUAUUGCACAAUGAGCGGAAGCCUGAUGCAGCAACGCCGCGUGCGGGAUGACGGCCUUCGGGUUGUAAACCGCUUUCGCCUGCGACGAAGCGUGAGUGACGGUAAUGGGUAAAGAAGCACCGGCUAACUACGUG